GCUGGGAUAGCUCAGCUGGUAAAGCAUGAGACAGUUAAUCCCAGGGUCGAGGGUUCAAGCCCCAUGUUGGGCA